rnacentral:rRNA from 1 species
AGAGUUUGAUCCUGGCUCAGGAUGAACGCUAGCUACAGGCUUAACACAUGCAAGUCGAGGGGCAGCAUGAAAGGAACUUCGGUUCUUUUUGAUGGCGACCGGCGCACGGGUGCGUAACGCGUAUCGAACCUGCCUCAUACUCGGGGAUAGCCUUGCGAAAGUAAGAUUAAUACCCGGCGGUCUCGGAUGGCCGCAUGACUGUCCGAGUGAAGAUUUAUCGGUAUGAGAUGGCGAUGCGUCCCAUUAGCUAGUUGGUGAGGUAACGGCUCACCAAGGCAUCGAUGGGUAGGGGUUCUGAGAGGAAGGUCCCCCACAUUGGAACUGAGACACGGUCCAAACUCCUACGGGAGGCAGCAGUGAGGAAUAUUGGUCAAUGGACGAAAGUCUGAACCAGCCAAGUAGCGUGCAGGAUGACGGCCCUCUGGGUUGUAAACUGCUUUUAGUUGGGAAUAAAAAGAGGGACGUGUCCCUUAUUGUAUGUACCAUCAGAAAAAGGACCGGCUAAUUCCGUGCCAGCAGCCGCGGUAAUACGGAAGGUCCAGGCGUUAUCCGGAUUUAUUGGGUUUAAAGGGAGCGCAGGCGGCGGCGUAAGUCAGUUGUGAAAUCGUGCGGCUUAACCGUGCAAUUGCAGUUGAUACUGCGUCGCUUGAGUGCACACAGGGAUGUUGGAAUUCAUGGUGUAGCGGUGAAAUGCUUAGAUAUCAUGAAGAACUCCGAUCGCGAAGGCAUAUGUCCGGAGUGCAACUGACGCUGAGGCUCGAAAGUGUGGGUAUCAAACAGGAUUAGAUACCCUGGUAGUCCACACAGUAAACGAUGAAUACUCGCGGUUGGUUCGUUAGAAUCAGCCGCCAAGCGAAAGCGUUAAGUAUUCCACCUGGGGAGUACGCCGGCAACGGUGAAAC